rnacentral:rRNA from 1 species
GACGAACGCUGGCGGCGUGCUUAACACAUGCAAGUCGAACGGAAAGGCCCUGCUCUUGUGGGGUGCUCGAGUGGCGAACGGGUGAGUAACACGUGAGUAACCUGCCCUUGACUUUGGGAUAACUUCAGGAAACUGGGGCUAAUACCGGAUAGGAGCUCCUGCUGCAUGGUGGGGGUUGGAAAGUUUCGGCGGUUGGGGAUGGACUCGCGGCUUAUCAGCUUGUUGGUGGGGUAGUGGCUUACCAAGGCUUUGACGGGUAGCCGGCCUGAGAGGGUGACCGGCCACAUUGGGACUGAGAUACGGCCCAGACGCCUACGGGAGGCAGCAGUGGGGAAUAUUGCACAAUGGGCGGAAGCCGGAUGCAGGAACGCCGCGUGCGGGAUGACGGCCUUCGGGUUGUAAACCGCUUUCGCCUGUGACGAAGCGUGAGUGACGGUAAUGGGUAAAGAAGCACCGGCUAACUACGU